rnacentral:rRNA from 1 species
AACGAACGCUGGCGGCAGGCUUAACACAUGCAAGUCGAACGCCCCGCAAGGGGAGUGGCAGACGGGUGAGUAACGCGUGGGAACGUGCCCUUCGCUUCGGAAUAGCCCCGGGAAACUGGGAGUAAUACCGAAUACGCCGUAUUGGGGAAGAUUUAUCGGCGAAGGAUCGGCCCGCUUUAGAUUAGCUAGUUGGCGGUGUAAUGGACCACCAAGGCUACGAUCUAUAGCUGGUCUGAGAGGAUGAUCAGCCACACUGGGACUGGGACACGGCCCAGACUCCUACGGGAGGCAGCAGGGGGGAAUCUUGGACAAUGGGCGCAAGCCUGAUCCAGCCAUGCCGCGUGAGUGAAGAAGGCCUUAGGGUUGUACAACUCAUGAGCCGGAGAAGAUAAUGACGGUAUCCGGAGAAGAAGCCCCGGCUAACUUCGUGCCAGCCGCCGCAGUAAAAC